rnacentral:misc_RNA from 1 species
GAUGAAGAACGAAGCGAAAUGCGAUAAGUAAUGUGAAUUGCAGAAUUCAGUGAAUCAUCGAAUCUUUGAACGCACAUUGCGCCCGCCAGUAUUCUGGCGGGCAUGCCUGUCCGAGCGUCAUUUCAACCAUCAAGCCCCGGGCUUGUGUUGGGGACCUGCGUCCGACGCAGGCCCUGAAAACCAGUGGCGGGCUCGCUGUCCACACCGAGCGUAGUAACUAACCUCGCUAUGGAGUGGCGCGGGCGCCUGCCGUAAAACCCCCAAUUUCACAAGGUUGACCUCGGAUCAGGUAGGAAUACCCGCUGAACUUAAGCAUAUCAAUAAGCGGAGGA